AGCAGUAGCCGCGGGAAUACGGAGGGUGCAAGCGUUAAUCGGAAUUACUGGGCGUAAAGCGCACGCAGGCGGUCUGUCAAGUCGGAUGUGAAAUCCCCGGGCUCAACCUGGGAACUGCAUUCGAAACUGGCAGGCUAGAGUCUUGUAGAGGGGGGUAGAAUUCCAGGUGUAGCGGUGAAAUGCGUAGAGAUCUGGAGGAAUACCGGUGGCGAAGGCGGCCCCCUGGACAAAGACUGACGCUCAGGUGCGAAAGCGUGGGGAGCAAACAGGAUUAGAUACCCCAGUAGUCCCUGUCUCUUAUAC
rnacentral:rRNA from 1 species